UACGUAGGGACCGAGCGUUGUCCGGAAUCAUUGGGCGUAAAGAGCGUGUAGGCGGCCUGUUAAGUCUUGCGUGAAAUCUCGGGGCUCAACCCCGAGCGGUCGUGAGAAACUGGCAGGCUAGAGUCCGGGAGAGGAGAGUGGAAUUCCUGGUGUAGCGGUGAAAUGCGCAGAUAUCAGGAAGAACACCCGUGGCGAAAGCGGCUCUCUGGAACGGUACUGACGCUGAGACGCGAAAGCGUGGGGAGCGAACAGG
rnacentral:rRNA from 1 species